UUUAACUGAGCGUUCAGUUACUUGACGUAGACCCGAAACCGGGCGACCUACCCAUGAGCAGGAUGAAGCGAAAGUAAAAUUUCGUGGAGGUCCGAACCCACGAGCGUUGAAAAGCUCGGGGAUGACUUGUGGGUAGCGGUGAAAUUCCAAUCGAGCCCGGAGAUAGCUGGUUCUCCCCGAAAUAGCUUUAGGGCUAGCCUCAAGGUGAGAGAUACGGAGGUAGAGCACUGAAUGUCCUAGGGGGUAUUGCACCUACCGAAGACUAUCAAACUCCGAAUGCCGUCAUCUUAUACUUGGGAGUCAGACUGUGGGUGAUAAGAUUCAUAGUCGAAAGGGCAACAGCCCAGAUCGUCAGCUAAGGUCCCUAAAUGUAAGUUAAGUGGUAAAGGAUGUGGGAUUGCACAGACAACCAGGAUGUUGGCUUAGAAGCAGCCACUCAUUCAAAGAGUGCGUAAUAGCUCACUGGUCGAGUGAUCCUGCGCCGAAGAUUUCCGGGGCUAAAACUUACUACCGAAGCUACGGCAUCAGUAAUGAUGGGUAGGGGAGCUUCCCAUACGGGUUGAAGCAUGACCGUAAGGACAUGUGGACAGUAUGGGAGUGAGAAUGUUGGCAUGAGUAGCGAGAUGUGGGUGAGAAUCCCACAGGCCGUAAACCCAAGGUUUCCAGGGGAAGGUUCGUCCGCCCUGGGUUAGUCGGGACCUAAGCUGAGGCCGAAAGGCGU
rnacentral:rRNA from 1 species